AUGAAAACCAACGGAGUCAGAGUCAGAAUAUCAUUGCUUUGUUGGAGGAUCCGUAAGAGGAUCAGUCAUAUCAUUUCUUUCACUAGAUUCACAUCUCUACGUAGUAGUAACUCGAUAGGCUCGAUAGAUAGUUACGGGGGUGACACACAGUGAUUACCCCGCCUCCAAUAGUCUAGUUAUUUCACAGUCACCAAAUCCGAGGAAAUACGCCUUUGUUUAGAAUCCCUGAUAACGCUUGUACCGCGGAUUUACAAUCGAAGGGGUGUCUCCGUAGUCCGUUAUCUGUCUACCAGCCGUCUACCAGCAAGUACAUCCCACUCUAGUCUCGUACUCGAUCACACUUUCGCCAGUUAAGUAGAUAGCAUUUCGGACAUGUAUCAAAAUUAUUCAGUGAUUCACCGGACUGCAGCUGUCACGAGUCGCGGAUGAUCCCGUCACAUCACUGAUUUUCACUAUUGGCGGUUACGACAGUCCUAUCAGGUUAUUUUGUCUGAUUAAUUUGAUUUAUGGUUAUCGAUUCACAGGUUGACAUUUCCCGACGCGUCCCGUCACGUUUCUGUCGCUCUCGGAUUGGGUCUUGUUCGAUAAGGAAAAAUGUCAUUUGAUCGAUCUCCGACGAUUAGUAUCUUGACUACGUAGUCAGUGGACGAUUCCACGGAGUUAUCAAUGGUUAUCUACGUAGUACAUAUUAUGGUAUUAUGUACGUUAUACUCUGAGUAUAGAGUAUCAGACUACGAUUGUGCAACCACCAUCUCCGGGCGCUUACACGGCGUGAUGUGCCUCUGUCUCGGUGGCCAGUCACAUCCGCCACAGUCAGUCACGGUCAAUGAUUGAUUCGAUUCGAUUUAUUUGUCAGUAUGUAUGUGAACAGACGGGAUGAUUCGAAAUUCAAAAGAUAGCUGCUCGCAUAUUGCCUAGAAUCAAAAGAUUAAAGAUUCAUUCAUAUACUCCGUGGCUCAUAUAGUUUCCUAAAAUGGAAAGUCGACUACGUCUCUUCACACUCGGUACACUCCGUACCGUCGCGAUAAGACUGGUCUGUCGGUCGACCUUUCUGCUUGUGAUAGUUGUGACUCAUGGUAGCAGCGACAACAUGAAUUAGUUAGUUACGCUCGGUUUACCAAAGAACAGGGCGGUCGCAUCACAUCGCAUCGUGUUGGGCCACCACACACACACACACACACACACACACACACACACAGCCCAGGCAGGUUUUCAACCAAACAACAAGGACGACGAAUAUCGAGAUGUCUUGACGUGGCUCAGAGUCAAAGUCAAGACUCAGACUCGGCUUCACCGCCAGGAUGUUUUGAUAGGGAUCAAGGAUUAGGGUUAUCGGGCAGCCCGUCAUGUCAUACUUGCUGCAUGCAAGUACGUAUUUCAGGCAUCCAUCGCUAUCUUUACGGUUUGUGCCAUCCAAGAUACGUGCAUGCUGUUCGAAGUAUAUUAUCGAUGACUUGUUUUAACCACACGUAGUAACUUCGAUCUUGAUUAAGUGUGAUGAUUCAUCGAUGGAUAGUUAACGAUCACAAGACAGCAACAAUAACGACAGUAACAUCAACAACAACAACAACAACAACAACAACAACAACAACAACAACAACAACCGCGGUCGGCGCCUCGUAUUUUGCAUGUGCUGGGUUGUGCCUUGUUUGUAGCGUGUGUUGUCAACUCAUCAGCUUCGUAUCGGAUACUAUCUGUCUCGACGCGAAAGUAUGACUGAUAUCCGGCGCACCCGUUGCAUUUCUGACUGUCGCGAACCAAACUCUCACCGAUCAACUUGAUUUUGUUGAGUCACCUUCUUUCCUGAAGUUUUACAACUAUCCGAGCUGAGCAUUGCCGACAUUACUACGGUCGGUAGACGAUGUAUCGAGUUCCUCGAUUCAAAGGAACGAUUACGCGCGUAAGACUGGGGAUAGUAAUAACUACUGUCCGAAAUAUCGCUUGUUCAUUGUGAUGUAAACUACUACGUACGUAUUUUGUGGCUGUCGUGGAGUGUCGGGAUUCCGUGCGGUAUUGGCGAUUACAUACGCUGAAACGGCGUUACGCAAUGCUAAUUUACAACAAAAUUACGAAUUUAUCCAGGUUCACACUCUUCGUUUGUAUAUACGGGGCGGCACGGGAAAACUUCCGUGCAACCCCGUCAAGGUUUCAUAGUCCUUUUGUACAAACAGAGUAUCCAGGUUCUGAUAGACCGGUUGAUAGUUGGUUACUUGGCCUUUUCUUAGUGCCUCGUUUCCACUUUGAUGAAUCAUUCAUUUUUGCCUUUUGGACAUCUGUCCUGGGUUUCCUCAAAAGAUUGGGUGUGGGUUAUUAAAUCCACAAACGACACUUAGCCGACGGCUACUGCUUUCCACUCAGAGUUCGUGGGGGGGAAGUUGUCAACUACCGUGGUCGAAAGCGUAUCAUACUAUUUUUACCCCAUGUUCCGAGGCAGCGACAGAGGUAUAUUAGAUAGGGAUCCCCCACGUUCUGUGGGUCGCACAGUCAUUGCCGCAUGAGGGAUCUACGUAGGUGCUGUAACUUAGCUAUGUAUAUGUAACUACAUACUCUGUAGUAUAUCAAAAUGAUUCGUCUCAAUCGCAUCAAUACUCAAAUGAUCAAAUCCACAUAAACUUUUGUAGCGGUGAGCUUCGACGUUCAACAAACUCUCAAGGGAAUUACGGAAUAGAUUCAACAAACAUGGGAUCCACCUCCGCAUUUUUCAACAUUCCGGAGAGGCGAAACUCUACUCCAAAAAAUAAGAGGUCUAGACGGUGGAGAUGGAUGUACUCAUAGAGAAAGAGAAGAAAAAUUUGCCUCCUCCACACGGAAAAUACCCUUUUACUUCACCGGAAAAAAAAAUGUCAAAGUCGCCUCCUUGCCAGAUGGGGAAAUGGACCGAUUUCUUCAUUAGUUGUCCAAUUUUGCCAUCUACAUGCUGACUGUUUGGUUCAAUGUGGAGGGGAAGAUCGGGGAGCUUUCCUUUCGGAGGUACUGGGUUCUUCUGUUUGUAUUGUUUGCGCGUCUACGACUCAUGUAUAUCAAUGUGUAUUUGUUGGGGAUAGAAUGCCUAGAGUCGAUGAUGUAUUUGAUCUUUGGGUUUUGUGUAAAACUUUGAAGUGAGAUGUUCCAGGGUUGAUGGGGUGGGUUACGCGUCCUCGCGUUGACCGCGUAGUCAGGAAAGCAGCCUUGGGAAUGCAGCGCGAAGUCAACAUGUCUACAAGACUCGCUUACGAAAUGCCAUUAUGGUAAUAACAUAGUUAUAAGUUACUACGGAGUAUGUAGCGGAAGAGAAACAUUGAAGCAUCGAAAUCCGGGGUAGCACGUGGGGCUGUAAACCCUAAGUCUAUUCAACCCUUGAAGGAUUCAGUCA
rnacentral:lncRNA from 1 species